rnacentral:lncRNA from 1 species
CAGCAGUGGGAGGACUCAGACAAGCGCUUUCUCCUCCCCUCAUGUUCACUCCUCCCCUCCAACUGUCUCCGCACUUUCAGUCAUUGAUUGCGCCUCCAUUGGACUCGUCUCGCACGCUGCUUUCCUCCUGUGGCAGUUUUUACGAUGUUUGCGUGCAGAGCAGCCUGGCAGAGGUGUGGGCCUCUGGCGCGACAGUCCUUGUACCGCGCUCGGCUCAAUAGAGAUGUAGUUCCACGGAGGCUCAUGUCGUCAGUUCCUGGCGGCUCCGGUGAGAAUUUCCUUUAUGUCGUUCUCUGCGGUGGAGCCUUCGCCGGUGCCGUGGCAUAUGCUUACAGAACAGUUGCAACAGACCACGCACGUUUUGUUGAUCGUGUUUCUGAAAUUGAUGCUCGUCCCAAGUCUGACUGGAAACCCAAACCAUGGCCACCCAAGAGUGAGGAGAAUGGCAAUGAAGAAGCUAGUGCAGAGGAAGGAGAGGUGGCAGAAACUGUAGAGAGCACAGCCGAGGAGGAUGUUCCUGCUGAGGCAGCUGAGGUCUUGCUGGAAACAGACGAGGCCACCAGAGGGAAGGUGGGAACUCUUGAGACCGUUGUGGAAAAGGUUGCAGAGACUGCAGAGGUGGUUGCUGAGGUGGCGGGGGUUGUUCAUGAAACCGCAGAGGAGGUGGCAGCGGUGGCAGACGAAGUGCAGAAGGUAGCAGAGGAAGUAGAAGCAGCAGCAGAGGCUGUCGUAACUCCUGUUAUCCAAGCUGAAGAGCCGGCGUCAGAGAGCAACGGGUUGGUUAGCACACCAGCAGCAGAAACAGUAAAGCUGGCUGCUGCCUCCGUGAUCGAGGCUGUUCCUGUGGAGUCUGAAUCUGUGGAAGAUGUGUCAGUUGAAGCUCUACCAGAGAUGCCCACUGAGGUUCCUACAACAGAUCAUUUGGAAAAUGUACCAGUAACAGAGAUGACACCUGUUGCUCCAGUGAUGGAGGAGGAACCAGCUUCUCUAGUAGCAGAAGAAGUAGCAGAGGCACCAGAUGCCACUGUAAUAGAAGAGCCUCCUGUAGCAGAGCAAUUGUCCGUUCCUCCAGUGACGGAAGUAAUAUCAGUUUCCCCUGUUGUAGAUGAGCCUGUUGCCACAGUGGUAGAAGAGUCUCCAGUAGCAGAGGAGACACCAGUUGAUUCAGCAGCAGAAGUAUUUGUUGCUCCAGUGAAUGAAGCAGCACCAGUUUCCCCAGUGGUAGAAGUGGCUCCAGUUGUAAAGGAGACACCAGUUGAUUCUCCAGUAUCCUCAGAAGAAGCAUCUGAUGUCCCUGUGAUAGAAGAGGAAGUUUUAGUUGCCCCAGUGACAGAAGAGACAUCUAUUGCCCCAGCAGCAGAGGAGGUAUCAGUUGCCCCAGUGAUAGAAGAGAUGCCUGUUGCCCCUGUGCCAGAAGAGGCAGCCGUUUCCUUUGUAACUGAAGACGCACCUGUUGUAGCAACUGAAGAACUUGAGGAAACACUUGCAGCCAAAGUAGCAGAAGAGGAUAUUUCAGUGGUUGAGGAAGUGAAGGCAGAAGAGGUGAUUGCAGAAAGUGCAGUUGUGGAGGCUCCAGUAAGUAUAGUCGAGGAACAAGCAGCAAGUCCAGUUGUGGAAGUUACAGAAAGUGUUGUUGAAACAGAUGUUGCAAGCAUAGUGGUCACUGAGGAAGUUGCUCCAGCUGAAACGUCAAGUGCACCUUUGGAAGAGCCCAAACGACACUACAUACUGGUUGUCUUGGAGGGAGCUCCCAAAACAGAAAAGAAGCCAAUGGUGCUCGGUGUAUCACCCGUGACUGGCAAGAUCAUCCCAGCCCCUGAUGAUGGUGAAGAGCCAUCGGGACAGGUAACAGGGCAAGCACCAUAUGCUUAAAGUGCAGAUGUAUUAAUACCAACUAAAAAAGUUGGGAGCAGUCAGAUGUCAUGGGAUAGUAAACCGGUUCCCUGAUAAACAAUUAGUGAUGUGCCUUCCCCAUUUCCUUGAGCCCCUGGAUUUCAGUAAUCCUUACACUGGGCCCAAUAUGCAGUUUCCUUCCGACUCAGCUCAAAAUAAUACUCUAUUUCCACUGCUCUCCACUGGAGAGUGGUUACUUCAUGUGAACAUUCACUUCACUCUGAUGUGAGACAAAAGUUUCUUGAAAAUUAUAAUGUGCAUGAAAAGCUGUGACCUAUAUUUAUAGCCUUUUUAAAUGGAACUCCACUCUUUUUGACUCAACUGCACAUUGGAGCCUAUACUAUAGUGAACCCUACCUCAAACAUCACAUUAUAGGACAUGUCUUGGAAUUGGCAUGUCAAUAGUUGCAACCAGCAGGGCUACAAAUUUGCCACAAACACUGUCAUACCUGCAUGCUGGCCAUCAGUUUUCUGGUUCUCCUCUGUCUUCAAUCUAUUUUUCAUUUGCAUUAUUUAUGAAUUAGCACUAUUAUUAUUUUUUGUACCUCUCUACCUCAGCUUGAAAAGACAGUGUUCUCCUUUUUCUAGUAACCAGUAUUAUAGUAACCAGCUGGCAUUACCAAUGGGACAUGACUUGGUCAAAAAACAGCCGACAAACCGAUUACCUUUACCAAUAUAGUCAAUACAACAACAAUAAGCCAUGUUACAAGUCACAUUCCAGUAUUCAUUUCUAAAGCGAGUCUCUACAGUGUUAUCCAAAAGGCAGACCCCACUGCUAUACUCCUUUGCCUUUGUUUUGCUGUUCUCUCUUCUCUUGUGAUUAUACAAAUUGUUUCGCAAAAAUACAUAAAUAAAGUCCUUUGCUUGAUGUGGCAAAAACAAGGUUACGCUAACGUUACACUCUCACUGAUACUACAGUUUUGAUGCUCAUAUGAUUUGAGAUUUUAAACUGGUAGACGGGCAUAUGUGGAUCCACAAAGGAAAAAAUAAUAAUAAUAAUAAAAAAAGACCUAACAAUUUUGUCACUUAUUUCCUUCAUAUUUCAAAAGGGACCUUAUAAGUGUUAUAAGUAAGAUUGCAUCUACAUAAUGUGAAUGUGAGGGAAUAAUGGGAAGUAUGGUUCAGUAGAAAUGGUGUUUUCACGGGUUCUUUUCUGUUUUUGUUUUAAGGGUUAGGAAUUUAAUACACAUUCAUGUGCUCUUAUGAGGCUUCUCUUUCACUGUAGGCCCUUACUAGGGUUUUUUUAAACUGUGAAUGUAUGUCAAAGAAAAAUAAAGAGUUAAAAC